GGGGAUUCCCACUUUGAGCGCUUACCGGUUGGCAUGGAAGUGUCGUACUGCCUUUCUUAAGCUUAGAUGUGAUGUACUGAAUAUUAAUACUGAGAAAGGAACUUUGUCGGUCGAUUGUUACAGAGGAGUGUUGAUAGCCUACACGGCUAUAGAAUGAUUAAGGUACGUUUGCUAAACUAGCCUCGACCUCGGAGAGUAUAAUCUGCGAAGGAUGCCCCGAUGGUUACUAUCAGCCCGUCCCGAGAUACUCGUAUGAAUUCACGAAACAGAGAUGUCUUCGCCGGCACGUAACCUGCAACGAGGUCGGAAAGGUGCUGUGUAAACAGGGAACUGUGAAGAGCGACUAUCGCUGCACGUGUGACUACGCGCUGCAGUAUGCACCGUCAUCGGAAAACUGUGAUUGCUUCUCUUACGACGAUCCUUGCUACUGUAAAAGGAAAUCGUGUGGUCACGGGAAGCAACUCAAUUCAACUUUUCAUUGUGUUGCAAUACCAACAACGACAACUACACCAAUGACAACUACACCAACGACAACUAUGCCAGCUACAACGACAACAACAAUAAA